UACGGAGGGUGCGAGCGUUGUCCGGAAUCAUUGGGCGUAAAGGGCGCGUAGGUGGCCCGGUCAGUUCGUGGUGAAAGCGCGGGGCUCAACCCUGCGUCGGCCAUGAAUACUGCCGCGGCUGGAGCACUGUAGAGGCAGGCGGAAUUCCGGGUGUAGCGGUGAAUGACGUAGAUAUCAGGAGGAACAGCCAGUGGCGAAGGCGGCUCACUGGCCCGGUACUGACGCUGAGGCGCGAAAGCGUGGGGAGCAAACAGG
rnacentral:rRNA from 1 species